rnacentral:rRNA from 1 species
CGCGUAGGCGGUCUUGUCGGUCAGAUGUGAAAGCCCGGGGCUCAACCCUGGAAGUGCAUUUGAAACAGCAAGACUUGAGUACGGGAGAGGAGAGCGGAAUUCCUGGUGUAGAGGUGAAAUUCGUAGAUAUCAGGAGGAACACCGAUGGCGAAGGCAGCUCUCUGGACCGAUACUGACGCUGAGGCGCGAAGGUGUGGGUAGCAAACAGGAUUAGAUACCCUGGUAGUCC